rnacentral:snoRNA from 1 species
GCAUGGCCGAAUACUGUGUUCCUUCAUCAGUAGCUUACACAGCCAGACACCAUGCAAAAGUAAAGCGUUCCUUUUAAAAUGACCGAUGAUAUGCUGUUUGUUCACAGUAUAUCAUUAUUAAAAGCGAUUACAAAU